rnacentral:rRNA from 1 species
AGGACAAGCGGUGAUGGGGAGCGAAAUUAAAGUAGCGAAGUUCCUGAUGUCACACUGCCAAGAAAAGCUUCUAGUGAGAAAUAAACUACCCGUACCGCAAACCGACACAGGUAGUCGAGGAGAGUAUCCUCAGGUGAGCGAGCGAACUCUCGUUAAGGAACUCGGCAAAAUGACCCCGUAACUUCGGAAGAAGGGGUGCUGACCGCAAGGUCAGCCGCAGUGAAUAGGCCCAAACAACUGUUUAUCAAAAACACAGGUCUCUGCUAAAUCGAAAGAUGAUGUAUAGGGGCUGACGCCUGCCCGGUGCUGGAAGGUUAAGAGGAUGAGUUAGCGCAAGCGAAGCCCAGAAUUGAAGCCCCAGUAAACGGCGGCCGUAACUAUAACGGUCCUAAGGUAGCGAAAUUCCUUGUCGGGUAAGUUCCGACCCGCACGAAAGGCGUAAUGAUUUGGGCACUGUCUCAACGAGAGACUCGGUGAAAUUAUAGUACCCGUGAAGAUGCGGGUUACCCGCGACAGGACGGAAAGACCCCAUGGAGCUUUACUGUAGCUUGAUAUUGAGUGUUGGUACCGCUUGUACAGGAUAGGUAGGAGCCGUAGAGAUCGGAACGCUAGUUUCGAUGGAGGCGUUGGUGGGAUACUACCCUAGCUGUAUGAACACUCUAACCCGCGCCACUGAUCGUGGCGGGAGACAGUGUCAGGUAGGCAGUUUGACUGGGGCGGUCGCCUCCUAAAAUGUAACGGAGGCGCCCAAAGGUUCCCUCAGAAUGGUUGGAAAUCAUUCGCAGAGUGUAAAGGUAGAAGGGAGCUUGACUGCGAGACUGACAAGUCGAGCAGGGACGAAAGUCGGGCUUAGUGAUCCGGUGGUUCCGUAUGGAAGGGCCAUCGCUCAACGGAUAAAAGCUACCCUGGGGAUAACAGGCUUAUCUCCCCCAAGAGUCCACAUCGACGGGGAGGUUUGGCACCUCGAUGUCGGCUCAUCGCAUCCUGGGGCUGUAGUCGGUCCCAAGGGUUGGGCUGUUCGCCCAUUAAAGCGGUACGCGAGCUGGGUUCAGAACGUCGUGAGACAGUUCGGUCCCUAUCCGUCGCGGGCGCAGGAAAUUUGAGAGGAGCUGUCCUUAGUACGAGAGGACCGGGAUGGACGUUCCGCUGGUGUACCAGUUGUGCCGCCAGGCGCAUCGCUGGGUAGCUAUGAACGGAAGGGAUAAACGCUGAAAGCAUCUAAGUGUGAAGCCCCCCUCGAGAUGAGAUUUCCCAUUCCUAUAUGGAAGUAAGACCCCUGA